rnacentral:lncRNA from 1 species
GGGCCCAGCCCGAGCCUGCGCGGGACACGGCGGCGGCCGCGGGGACCCCCGCCGCUGCUGUCAGCGGCCAGCCGGGCAGGGGGCCCGGGGGAGCUGGAGCGGGCGCCGCAGGAGGAGGGGACAGGGAGGGAGGGAGGGAAGGAAGGGAGGGAGGGGCGGAGGGCCGGCGCUUCACGUGAACCCGGCCUGGCGGGGCGCAGGAGCGCGAGUGGCUCCAGCAAACACAGUAGGCGCCGAGCGCCGGGCCGGCCUAACCCCGCCCACUCCAAGACCCCGUCCUGCCCCCUUCCUAGCCACGCCCCACGCCAGACACAGUCCAGCCCCUCGCAGCUGUGCGCCCCGCCCACGGAGGAGGCCACGCCCCCUUCCGGUGGCUGGCUGGCUGGAGGCAGAGGAGGCGAGCCAGGGCGGGGCUUGGCCUGACAGGCCCCAGCGGACCCGCCCCUUCGCGGUUGCCCCAGGAAAGAGCCUGAUUUGUUUGUUUGUUUGCUCAUAGCUUUUCCUUCUCCCAACUCCUCGCUCAUCCAGAAAUAGAGGUUAUCGCCAUGCCUCUUCUUCAUGCCUCCAGAUCCUUCAGCUCUGACGUUGGAUGGCAGCAACUAACAGCAGAGUCACUGAGAGGGAUGAGAUAGCUGAAUGCUUGGUACAUGAAACAAUGAAGAAGACCAUUGUCUUCUUGGUACAUGAAACAAUGAAGAAGACAAGUGUCCCAGUGGACAUUGCUGAUGAAAGAGGGUGGAGAUUGUCUACAGUGAAGACAGAUGAUCCAGCAGAGCAAAUCUUUGUCUCUUAUGAGCUCACCCUCUCCUGCUGUCUGUGCCACACCUGUAAUUAUAAUUAUGGCCCACUGCUCAGGGAUGCUGCAAUCCCUUCCUGCUGAAACCCAUCUCGAGUUCACAAACCAAGUCACUAUGCAGGGAGAAAAUGCCUGAGUCGAUGGAAUCUGCUUCAUUAGUACCUUCACUGGUUCUGCUGGCUGCAGUUAACCUCCUAAGAAGAUGCGUGUGGCCAACAUUUUUCAGAUGCAUGGGCACAUCCUUGCAUUUUCAAAGGAACUAUGACGUUAGUAACCACAACUGGGACACUCUGGACAAGCAUAAUGAGGCUAGGCAUUUUGAAAGUUGGUUGAUAUGGAGAUAAAGUGGCUGCUGAUGUAUUGCAAGUAUGCCAUAGAAGGAGAAACUCUGGAAAGUCACCAGAAGGAAAUUAGCACAAGAUGGUCAUAAAAAUCGUUACAGAUUGACUUUAUUUUGACAAAAAUCUUUCUUACAUGUCUCAACACUAGUAGAGUCUGUGAUGCUAAAAUAAUUCAGCAUUGAAGUUGUCUACUCUUGAUAUAUAAACAGCCUGAUGGUUGUACAAAUUCACUGUCAUCUUGAUGAAAAAAUUAACACAGAACUUUGCUGUCAAUUAUAAUGAGAGGGCUAUGCAACUUUGUUUCCAAGUAAAUGGAACUCUUAUAUUUUCUAAUGAGGUAUAGUCUCUCUUUGCUAGGGUGAUUUUAUUUUCAUACAGAGGACAAAAAAGGCAUUGUGAUCAUUGGAUUUGUACAUAGCUUAUGAUGUGACCUUUUUGUUGUUUUAGGUUCAAAAUAGGACUAUUGGGUUUUUAAUCUACAGAAAACAGAUGCUAUUUCCCCUCUUCCAACAAGGUUUCAUUUCUAGAAUCUGAGCCCAAACAUGACAGCCUUCAAUUGCUCUUUUGUAUUUCAGUUUAGACAAAGCAUUCAGUCAGUGUGGUAGCAUAUCUGCUUUUUAUUCUGUUGCAAAUUUUGAAGAUUUUCUCUGGCGUAUCAAAUAAAAUACACCCCGGAAAACUUCA